UUGUUAAGUGUUCUCUGCAUAUUUUGACGAUUCAUUAUUAUAUAUAAAGACUAAUUCCUACUUGAGAAAAGAACGAAGCUUUAACUCUUUGGCUAAAAGAUUGCAAUAAGGGGAUAUAAGACUAUUCAUUAUUAUAGUCUAUGUUACUCGGGCUAGUGCUUGAAUGUUGAAUACAUUUUCUAUGUUUUUUCAUAUAUUUGGAGAAUCAUGCUAUUUUGGACUCAUGUUUGAAUAUGUGUUGGAUGCAUGUAUUCUAAUGAAAAUGAAGAGUCCGAAUAACUUAGAACAAGGGAAUUGUGAGACCGCCUGUAGGAUGACUCAAGAAUGACACUGGUAUCACGAACCUCUUCUGGUUUUCUCCAACAUAAACUGCAAAGUAGCCCUUGGGAACUUUCUUAGAACCAACGAUACGAGGCAAGCGGAUAGCCAUGGUUGUUUUCCAAUAGAGGUAUGCUUCAAAAGGGUAGAAGAAGAUCUCCGAGAACUGUAGUACUUUGAGGAU